rnacentral:tRNA from 1 species
GUCCUGGUAGCUUAGCAGGUAGAGCGCAUGACUGUUAAUCAUGAGGUCGGAGGUUCGAGUCCUUCCUGGGACGC